UACGUAGGGUGCAAGCGUUGUCCGGAAUUAUUGGGCGUAAAGAGCUCGUAGGUGGCCUGUCGCGUCGGCUGUGAAAACUCGGGGCUCAACUCCGAGCUUGCAGUCGAUACGGGCAGGCUAGAGUUCGGCAGGGGAGACUGGAAUUCCUGGUGUAGCGGUGAAAUGCGCAGAUAUCAGGAAGAACACCAGUGGCGAAGGCGGCCCGCUGGGCAGUGGCUGACGCUGAGGCGCGACAGCGUGGGGAGCAAACAGG
rnacentral:rRNA from 1 species